ACAUGAUCACAGAAGAAGCACUUCCGACCUAUCAAACUAUGUUGAACACUUUGGAUGGAGUUAGGGAUGAAACAGGUGCUAGUCCUACUUCAUGGGCUAUUUGGACCAGAGCUUGGACUGCAGAAGAAAACCGACAUGGCGAUCUUCUGAAUAAAUACCUUUACUUGUCUGGUCGGGUGGACAUGAGGCAGAUCGAAAAGACCAUUCAGUACUUGAUUGGAUCCGGAAUG
rnacentral:lncRNA from 1 species